rnacentral:tRNA from 1 species
GUUCCUGUAGUUAAAGUCUAUAACGGCGGCUUUUCAGGUCGUAGGUCUCAGAGAAAUGCUGGGCAGGAAUU